rnacentral:rRNA from 1 species
AUAGCGUAUAUUAAAGUUGUUGCAGUUAAAAAGCUCGUAGUUGAACUUCAGACCUGGCUGGGCGGUCAGCUUAUCGGCUUGUACUGUCUGGCUGGGGCUUACUUCUUGGUGAGCUGGUGUGCCCUUUAUUGGGUGCGUUGGUGAACCAGGACCUUUACCUUGAGAAAAUUAGAGUGUUCAAAGCAGGCCUAUGCCCGAAUACAUUAGCAUGGAAUAAUAAAAUAGGACGUGCGGUUCUAUUUUGUUGGUUUCUAGAGUCGCCGUAAUGAUUAAUAGGGAUAGUUGGGGGCAUUGGUAUUGAGUCGCUAGAGGUGAAAUUCUUGGAUUGACUCAAGACCAACUAUUG